rnacentral:rRNA from 1 species
AUGGACAGAUCUCAUGAAUGUGGAAGUGGAAGUUCUGAAUCUGGUGGUGUUUCUAUGAUUAAUAAAAUCCACACUCAUCUGAAUGAUAAAUCUAAGUGCAAAAAUCCUGCAAAAAUGAAGAUGAACACAUCUGGUGAGAGGAAAAUUCAUAAUAUGGCUAGUCCACAGCAGUACAAGCAAAUCCCGCCCGGCUUCCCUCCCAACCCAAAGUACACUGCCAAGAUCUCUUUUGAUGGAACCGAUGAAGAUGGACACGAAAGUUACGCAGAAUAUUUACAGUUAUUUCGGAACAUAUGUUACAACCAUGGAAUUAAAAUUGAUACAUCAAUCUCCGGAACCAAGGAAAAGGUUUGCACAACUUUGGAGAAAGGAACCUUUCAUGUGCUUGUGCAGUUAGGGGAAGCUUGUGUUACCUUUAUAAUCGAUCUCAGGCAUGGCUGGCUAAGGGGGUAUUGCAUAGGGGACCAAGUAUAUGAACUAAAACCUGAUAAAGAUGAGAAAAUCUAUAUGCCACAUGCAAACAGAAAAGAACUUCCUUUUGAAGGAAAUCACCGUAAAAUUAGUGGAGGCGCUCCGGGCAAAAUCAGAAUUGGGGCAAAUGUGCUCAGAAAGAAACUUAAAGAACUGGUGAGCAGCAAUGGCAGAAUAGAUCCAGAAAUAAUUGGACUCUUUACUCUGUACUUGUGUGAAGGUCCGAAAGUACAAACAGCUGGUGAUGCACUAUUGAAGUCACUGAUAGAUCCGGGUAUGAGCAGGUUAGAAAUAGCUCUGCCGUCAAUUUGUCAACUGUUGACCAAUUGGAGCGGUCUAAGCGGAGUAGCUAUGAAUUAUAUGCAAGAAGUAAGCCAAGGGAAGGUACCUUCAGAAUUGGAAGAAAAGAAACGGAUCCCUGGUGUUAUCGAUUCAGUUCAAGAUAUUCUGAAAAUCAUGAAGAUUCUUCAUAUUGACGGUAUUAACAAAGGCAUAUUCAGUCACAGAAACGUUGAAGAUCCAAAUAAUUGGUUAACCUCAGAUGAUAUCUGGAAGCCUACACCUCAGAAGAGAAGUUGGAAGGGAAAAGCAACUUCACCUGAAAAAAAAGGCAAUAACUUACAAUUACAGACCCCGAAGAAAAAUCCAUUCAGGAUAUAA